GGGGGAAGGGAAAAGACCGAGCAGUGGAGGGAGGAGGGAGCCAUUUCUCUCCACUGGCUGCAACCUCCGUGCUCACAGCUCACGUUUGCCCGGAAUCCAGAGGCCUCCUCGGCCAAGGACUCCAUAAUGCUGGAUAUUUUCAUCCUGAUGUUCUUUGCCAUUAUAGGCCUGGUCAUUCUGUCCUACAUUAUCUAUCUGCUCUAGUGGCCUGCGGCUGCGGCGGGGAGCCCUCAGGACAGCUCGGGGGGGAAGGAUGGAGCUGACUGGCCGAGCCUCCUGCUUUGCUGACGCACCGGUGGAAUUUUGCUUCUGGUCGUUAUUUCGGCUCCUGGUCUCCAGUCCAACAAGAGACCUCUUAGCAGCAGUCCUGCUGCCCAGCAGACCUCUUCCAGAGCCUUCCGGAAAAGGCUAGCCACUGUGGAGCAAGGGGCUUUUUGAGCCCCGAGGCAGAGGCGCUCAGCAGGGACAUCAGGAAUUCGUGGGCAAGGCUGGCAGAUGCUGCGUGCGUUUGAGCUGUAGAUAGAAGGUGUUGAGGACACAGAGCUGAAAUGUAGACUCAAUAAAGUUACCAUGGAGAAUGGCUCACAAAUCCAUUUUGAUAGCCUUUCUUUAGGUGUAAAUGCAACUGUAUAUUAUGCUAAAAUAUGUUUUCUUUCCCUCUCACGCUCGGGGCGGGGCGGGGGUGGGGCGGCCUGUAAAUUCUAAAGCACAUUGUCUAUCUUCCUCUGAAGUCCUCACUUUAUCACUCUUUACAGACUGCAUAGCCUGAGGGCGUACGGUAUCUCUAAUCUCACUCUUUAGCCAGAAGGAACUUGUCAUUUGAGUUUUUAAGAUUUAUCACAUUUCUGCCACUCCCUACCACUUGAGCUCCAGCUUCUCAUUUAAAGAGAGAAAUGGUUAUAUAGUCCUCAUUCUUUGAGACUGUCUGAAUGAUAAAUUAUUGGAAUAGGGUAGCCAUAACUCAUCUUUCUUGUUAUGUGGGAAAAAUCUCUCUCUUACCCCAAAAUAAAUGGUUUUUUUAUAUUGUCAAA